GCUAACCCAGAUUUUGUGACAGUUGAGGCUAGAGACUUGCGUGUAAUGCCUGGUACACUUGCAUCCAAAUAUGAAAAGCUUGGUGGUGAAGUGAAAUGGAUGGGCAAACCUGAUAAGGUCAUCUACCAAUCCGCAAUGGCUAUGGUUGGUGUCGAUGCCUCUGAUACAAUUGCUGUUGGUGAUUCACUCCACCAUGACAUCAAGGGCG
rnacentral:misc_RNA from 1 species